AACGAACGCUGGCGGCAGGCUUAACACAUGCGAGUCGAGCGCCCCGCCAGGGGGGCGGCGGACGUGUGGGUAGCGCGUGGGAACGGAGCUUUUGGUUCGGCACAACUCCGGGAAACUGGAGCUAAUACCGGAGAAGCCUUAACGGGGAAAGAUUUAUCGCCUAAGGAUGGGCCCGCGUGUGAUUAGCUAGUUGGUGGGGUGACGGGGCACCAAGGGGAGUAGCAGUAUAGGGUCUGAGAGGAAGAUCAGCGACACGGGGAGUGGGCCACAGGCGAGAAUCCUGCGGGAGGGAGGCGUGGGGAAUACUGGAAAAUCGGGGCAGGGAUGAAGCAGCCAGGCCGGGUGAGUGAUGAAGGCCUUAGAGAUGUAAAGCUCUUUUGUCCGGGAAGAUAAUGACUGUACCGGAAGAAUAAGCACCGGCUAACUUCGUG
rnacentral:rRNA from 1 species